AAGUGUUUGUGUGUGUGUGUGUAAUAAGUGUGUGUGUGUGUGUGUGUCCUCUCCAGUCCAACUCUGUUCACCCACUGAUGCGUCUCUCCCCAAACCUCUCUGCACGGAGGAAGAAACAACUCCUGCUCGUGAGGC
rnacentral:lncRNA from 1 species